UUUUUUUUUAAAUUGUUGUUCGUUUCCAACCGCCACAGAAGUUCUGAGUGGGUGGGGCCAGUGGCCAGCACUCAGGCUCGCGGGACGUCCGGGCAUUACUAGCGGCGCGCACAGGUUGUGCCACCUGGUCUUGACCUCCGCCGCCGCUGGAAACCAAUGAGUCUCCCUGACAUUUCGCGGCGAAGGAGCCCAGUGCCCCAAGAGGACUGGCCCCUGACACCCAACGCCCUGAGGCCUUCACCUUUCCCGAACCCAGUGCUGCAAGCCCUCUACAGUUUAUCCCGCGUGCUGCUUUUCCCGACUUACUGGUCCCUGGACCAGUUGCUGGGCUGCUGGGCACCAAGCGUCCGAUCCAAAAGCUUGGGGUGGUUCAAAGUCCUGGCAGGAAGUGGGGUGUUGCUACCACUGGUGGUGGUCGGCCUACCCUUAGCGUUGGUCGGCCUUGCGCUCUGGCUGCCCCUCCAGGUCUGGCGCCGCCCCUUCUGCUAUCAGCCCCCUCCGGCAUGCUGGGUGUGGCCACAGCCCUGGCAUCCGCCUGCUGAGCGCCGGCGCUGCUUUGUCUUUCUCACUGCUAAUCUGUGCCUAUUGCCCCACGGGCUGGCUCAUUUUAACAACCUGUCGCACAGCCUGCAGCGCGCCGAGGCUGUAGGGGCCGCACUGCUAGAUAGCCUUCAAUCGUCACAGUAUAGGGUUUCCGAAUGCAGUCAGCCGCCGCCUAGGGUGCCUGGUGGUGAGCUGAAGGCCACAUUACCUAUGGGCUUGGACUUCGUGUGUCUGCAGGAAGUGUUCGACCUCCGCGCAGCUCGUCGUCUUGUGCGUGUCUUGGUACCAAAUCUGGGCCCGGUGAUAUAUGAUGUGGGCACAUUUGGCUUAAUGGCUGGGCCGUACAUCAAGGUACUGGGCAGUGGGCUUCUACUGGCCUCGCGCUACCCGUUGCUGCGUGCCACCUUCCGUUGCUUUCCUAACGCUCGUCGCGAGGACGCCAUGGCCUCCAAAGGUCUACUAUCAGUCCAGGCGCAGCUAGGCAUCGUGGACGGGCACCCCAUCGUGGGAUACCUUCAUUGUACACAUUUGCAUGCACCCGUUGGUGAGCCCUGCAGGAGGGUUUGAAAUGUGGAGGAUGGACAUAUUCGCUGCAAACAGCUAACGCUGCUGCUGGAAUGGGUGGAAGAGUUCGAGGCUGAGAACCGGCAGAGUGAUGAGGCUGUAGCCUUCAGCGUCCUCCUGGGAGAUCUAAACUUUGACAACUGCUCCCAAGAUCAUGCCAAGGAGCAGGGCCAUAAACUCUUCAGCUGCUUUCAGGACCCCUGCCGGCUAGGCGUUUGCCAGGAACAGCCCUGGGCCUUAGGGACAAUCUUGAAUUCCUCCAUGCUACGCCACUCCAUUGCCUGCUCCCCAGAGAUGCUUCGGAGGGCCCUGAGACAGGAAAAGGGGCGCCGCCUGUACCUGUCAGGGCCCCUUCAUGGGAGUUACCCAGCUCAGUCCUGGAAGGGCCGGCGUCUGGACUACAUCACCUACCGCAGAGUACCCGGGAGUCGCCUGAGCCCAGAGGCGGAGCAGGUGACAUUCAGUACUGCCUUUGCUGGACUCACGGACCACUUGGCUAUGGGCCUGAAGCUUCAAGUGGUAUGCUCCUGACGCUGGUGCCCAGACAAGGGGAUGAAUGUCGAGAAAGACCACCAUGGGGGGAGCGGAGCCCAAUAACCCAAUAACCAUGCGACUCAAAGGAUCUUUAUUGUGGGGGCACUCAUACUGCUUCCUGGGCGCGGCGGUACUCAUACACACUGCCUCGCUCUGGGAAGGCUGGAUAUAGCGGGGGCGAGCCUGGUGGUGGUGCUGGGUCCUCCGGGUCUCCAUAGCCCCCACCCCCAGGCGUGUGGAGGCAGAACGCGUCCUGAGAAGAAGAGCAAGUUUUAACACAGGUUGCGUCCCUGUCCCAGUUAAGACACAAUCACUCAACCACCCUAUUUCCGUUUGGGAGCCAAAUUAAAUUUUUGUAUCCCUAUUCA